rnacentral:rRNA from 1 species
GAUGAACGCUGGCGGCGUGCCUAAUACAUGCAAGUCGAGCGAACAGAUGAGGAGCUUGCUCCUCUGACGUUAGCGGCGGACGGGUGAGUAACGCGUGGAUAACCUACCUAUAAGACUGGGAUAACUUCGGGAAACCGGAGCUAAUACCGGAUAAUAUAUUGAACCGCAUGGUUCAAUAGUGAAAGACGGUUUUGCUGUCACUUAUAGAUGGAUCCGCGCCGCAUUAGCUAGUUGGUAAGGUAACGGCUUACCAAGGCAACGAUGCGUAGCCGACCUGAGAGGGUGAUCGGCCGCACUGGAACUGAGACACGGUCCAGACUCCUACGGGAGGCAGCAGUAGGGAAUCUUCCGCGAUGGGCGAAAGCCUGACGGAGCAACGCCGCGUGAGUGAUGAAGGUCUUCGGAUCGUAAAACUCUGUUAUUAGGGAAGAACAAAUGUGUAAGUAACUAUGCACGUCUUGACGGUACCUAAUCAGAAAGCCCCGGCUAACUACGUG